GCUGACGAGCGGCGGACGGGUGAGUAAUGCAUAGGAAUCUGCCCGGUAGUGGGGGAUAACCUGGGGAAACCCAGGCUAAUACCGCAUACGUCCUACGGGAGAAAGGGGGCUUCGGCUCCCGCUAUUGGAUGAGCCUAUGUCGGAUUAGCUAGUUGGUGAGGUAAAGGCUCACCAAGGCAACGAUCCGUAGCUGGUCUGAGAGGAUGAUCAGCCACAUCGGGACUGAGACACGGCCCGAACUCCUACGGGAGGCAGCAGUGGGGAAUAUUGGACAAUGGGGGGAACCCUGAUCCAGCCAUGCCGCGUGUGUGAAGAAGGCCCUCGGGUUGUAAAGCACUUUCAGCGAGGAAGAACGCCUAGUGGUUAAUACCCAUUAGGAAAGACAUCACUCGCAGAAGAAGCACCGGCUAACUCCGUGCCAGCAGCCGCGGUAAUACGGAGGGUGCAAGCGUUAAUCGGAAUUACUGGGCGUAAAGCGCGCGUAGGUGGCUUGAUAAGCCGGUUGUGAAAGCCCCGGGCUCAACCUGGGAACGGCAUCCGGAACUGUCAGGCUAGAGUGCAGGAGAGGAAGGUAGAAUUCCCGGUGUAGCGGUGAAAUGCGUAGAGAUCGGGAGGAAUACCAGUGGCGAAGGCGGCCUUCUGGACUGACACUGACACUGAGGUGCGAAAGCGUGGGUAGCAAACAGGAUUAGAUACCCUGGUAGUCCACGCCGUAAACGAUGUCGACCAGCCGUUGGGUGCCUAGAGCACUUUGUGGCGAAGUUAACGCGAUAAGUCGACCGCCUGGGGAGUACGGCCGCAAGGUUAAAACUCAAAUGAAUUGACGGGGGCCCGCACAAGCG
rnacentral:rRNA from 1 species